CUCCCGCUUUUCCGUACGAAAACAUGGCGCCGCCCUACGAGGGGCGGGCGCCUCCUGGCUAAAGUGCUGCCUCCUCCUUCCCGACGCUUGAGGAGCGGCCACACUGGCCGCUACCCACCCGAGCCUGGCUCGGAGGACCGCCCGCAGCGCGGCGAGGGAUGCAGCCUCGGAAGGGCAGAGGCUGAAGCGUCCCGUGCUCGCCGCGCAUCGCUCCGCGCCUCCGCCGCGGCGCCGGCGGCCGUCUCAUUCCCCGCCCGAGCGGCAGGAGGGAGAACUCCGCGGCAGGAAAGUGAAUUAAACUUAAUUGAGAAUGUCCGAAAACCCUGACAAGCCCAAUAUAAAUGAAGCAGGAAAAUCAAAAUCGAAUGAUUCUGAGCAAGACCUUGAAGAUGCUGUCAAAGGUUCUGAUGCCGCUCUACAGAAAACAGUAAAGUCGGGCUCUCCCAGCACCCAAAGAGUGCAAAGACCUCACUCUAGUCCUCCUCGAUUUGUGACAGUAGAAGAACUUCUAGAGACAGCGAAAGGAGUCACUAACAUGGCUCUAGCCCAUGAAAUUGUAGUAAAUGGAGACUUUCGGAUUAAACCAGUCGAAUUACCAGAAGACAGUUUGGAGAAGAGAGUGAAGGAGAUUGUACAUAAAGCUUUUUGGGAUUGCUUGAGUGUCCAGCUAAGUGAAGACCCCCCCACAUAUGACCAUGCCAUCAAACUUGUUGGGGAAAUCAAAGAGACUCUCUUAUCUUUCUUGCUGCCUGGUCACACUAGACUGAGAAACCAGAUAACAGAAGUCUUGGAUCUGGAUCUGAUAAAGCAAGAAGCAGAGAAUGGGGCCUUAGACAUUUCCAAGCUGGCAGAAUUCAUUAUUGGCAUGAUGGGGACCCUCUGUGCACCUGCUCGAGAUGAGGAGGUCAAGAAACUAAAGGACAUUAAGGAAAUAGUGCCUCUUUUCAGGGCAAUUUUUUCCGUGUUGGACCUCAUGAAAGUGGACAUGGCGAACUUUGCCAUCACUAGCAUUAGGCCGCAUCUCAUGCAGCAGUCUGUGGAAUACGAAAGGAAGAAGUUUCAACAGCUUUUGGAGAAGCAGCCAAAUUCCCUGGACUUUGUCACCCAGUGGCUGGAAGAAGCUGCAGACGACCUUACAAAUCAGAAGUAUAAAAGCGCCCUGCCAGCUGGGGGAGGGGCUUCCGGCUCUGGGGACGGCCCCACGCCAAAUCCUGUGGCUGUCCAGAAUUAUGCAUACCUGAAGCUUCUGAGAUGGGACCACCUGCGGAGACCUUUCCCGGAAACCGUUUUGAUGGAUCAGGCUCGCUUCCAAGAGCUCCAGCUGCAGCUGGAGCACCUCACCGUCCUGGGAGCCGUGUUGCUGGUCACAUUCAGCAUGGCAGCCCCAGGAAUCUCCAGCCAGGCCGACUUUGCUGAGAAACUCAAGAUGAUCGUGAAGAUUCUGCUAACAGAUACACAUCUGCCGCCCAGUUCAGAGGAUUCCUUGAGGAGGAUGUCCCCAGAUGUUCUCAUCCUUAGAAAAUGGAGGCCUUUUCCUGCUGAGUUAUACAGAGCUUGCCCGCGCUGAGUGUGGGGUCAGGGGUGCAUGCACAGGCCGGCUGAGACCAGGAGGGGUUUGCUGAGCUGAGGCCCUGGCACGUCACUGAGGUCUGUCCCCCACAUCAUCCGUCCCUCCCCGCCCCCCAGCAGACCUGGUGCUCUACUGUUUAGAGUUUCCCAUGAGGGGCCCUGUGUGGGGCUUCCAUACAGCCCUGUGGACAGCCCUGCGGUGUCCACACUGGCUCUUGGGUUGUCGGUACCCUCAGAGCUGGUACCAGCUGUGAGUCCCUGGGCUCACUCAUUUGUGCCCAUGACUCCUGCUGUACAGAGGGUUUAAGCCCAGAACAAAGGCCUGACAGGAAACCUACCAGCAGGAGGACUCCCCACAGAUACUCCAGGAGAGCGCAAGGGCUCUGGAAAAAUCAAGGUGCUCAUUUUUUAACUUCGGGAUUUCAGUGUUAUUAAUUCUUUUAAAGUAGUUAAUACCUUCCCCUAUUUCACAAAUCAAAAGGGACAGAAGGAUAUCUAAUGAAAAGUUUCUCUUCCCGUUCUGUCCCACAGCUCCCUGAUUCUGGGUUCUUGUGUGCUACCCCAGCGGGAUUGCGGAUACUCCUCCUUCCAGCUGAAGGACGCCCUGACUACCAUCGGGGAGAAGGUCUGCCUGGAGGUGAGCAGCUGCCUGGCCCUGUGCGGGCUCACCCCCUUCACCACG